rnacentral:rRNA from 1 species
CUACGGGUCGCACCAGUGGGGAAUAUUGCACAAUGGGCGCAAGCCUGAUGCAGCCAUGCCGCGUGUAUGAAGAAGGCCUUCGGGUUGUAAAGUACUUUCAGCGGGGAGGAAGGGAGUAAAGUUAAUACCUUUGCUCAUUGACGUUACCCGCAGAAGAAGCACCGGCUAACUCCGUGCCAGCAGCCGCGGAAAUACGGAGGGUGCAAUCGUUAAUCGGAAUUACUGGGCGUAAAGCGCACGCAGGCGGUUUGUUAAGUCAGAUGUGAAAUCCCCGGGCUCAACCUGGGAACGGCAUCUGAUACUGGCAAGCUUGAGUCUCGUAGAGGGGGGUAGAAUUCCAGGUGUAGCGGUGAAAUGCGUAGAGAUCUGGAGGAAUACCGGUGGCGAAGGCGGCCCCCUGGACGAAGACUGACGCUCAGGUGCGAAAGCGUGGGGAGCAAACAGGAUUAGAUACCCGCGUAGUC